UUUUACAAUUAUACUAAAUUAUACUAAAAGGCCUUUUGCUUGCUAAAAAGUAUAAACUAUUAAUCAGAGUUAACAAAAUUGUUUCAAAAUGUGAUCAAAACCUUAGAUUAAUGCAGAAUGUUGAUAUGAUGUGUGUUUCAGAAUGGAGAGUGUCAUCAAACAGGUUGGUGAGAUCAGAGAUGUUGACUGUGAGCACUAGAAUCAGAUAUGGAGUACUGCACAUCUUCUCUUCAGUGGAUAAUGGAAGCUCUGUCUCAGAGCAGUACAGUGAAGAGCACUAAAGCACACCCGACUCGCAAAGGUACAUCUGCUUGUGUCACAAUACUUACAUAUAUUUUAGCACAGUGAUUUUCAACUGCUGGGUGACAAAAAAAUAAAAUAAAGGAUAGUGUGUAAAAAUAAUAAGUAAGAAUAACAAGUGAAUAAAAUGGGUUAAGUUAAUAUUUCUAUAAUUUAAAAACAUAAUUGCAAGAUCACAGUUCUCUGAUGGUAGUUAAUAGUCACUUGAUAUGCAAGUAAACAGAUAAAAAAUUUUUUUGUUAUUGUAAUUGCGAUUUUGUCAUAUAGAAAUUUGAACUGAUGUUGUUAUUAUUAUUAGUUUUAACUCUAAUUGUAAAAAAAAUGAAUAAGAGAAAUAUACUACUGUUGUAAAUUACAGUUGUACUGUAAAAAGGAUAUGUGAAAACAUUAUAAUAAUUAUUAUAAUAUUUUAUUUCAAACAAACUUAAAUAUUUAUGUCUUAAAUUCUUAAUUUUCAAACAUUUUAAACCUUAAAUUUUAAACAUUUUUUAUUUUGGCAGAAUACUUGUGAAAUGCUGUAAACUCCUAUCUGGAAAUUAUGCAGUGUGUAAAAUACAACUAAGGGUAUAAUUAUGCAUAGUUAGGAUAGAAAAAAAUAUAUAUAUUUUGCCAACUUUUAAAAUGAAGCACAUUGUUGAUGUCAGAUAUUUUAUAUUAUCACAGCUUUAAGUAGGUGUAUUUGCCAUUGCCUGACAAUAAGAAGAUAUUUUCAUUUCCAUCCUAAACUGAUUCAUGGUUCAUCUUUUUCAGCUCCUCAUUUCAGCCUCCAUUGAGAAAUGAAAAAGAGCCUUCUUUCCUGUAUUCGUCUUCUGUAUCUCAAUCUCAUGGACACGUGAACCAAGAAGCUGGAGAGAGUCAGUGAAAGGAGGGGAAAUGACGUGUCAAAAAACUACCCGUAUUGUUCUGGUUUCCAUUUUUAAACUUGUCACCCUGGCCUUUUCACUGUUCAUCCUGCUCUUACAAGUUUAGUGCUCCCAAAUGACCUCUCUUCAUAUUGCAUGUGAUUGUGGGAAGAGAACAGGGCACAGAAUGUCCUUGAACUUACAAUACACCGCAAGGUCAGUUAUGUCAUGUUACAUUCAUUGAUUACUUUAAUUGUUAGGUUUAACUAAUUACUUUAAUUGUUAGGUUUAACUAUAAGGUCAGGGUAACUGUCUUCAUAGUAUCUGAUUUUUAUGUAAGCAAUAAAGUAUGAGAGGCUGUGCUAUAUCGUGAAUAAAUCAAGGCUGAAGGGCGUUGUUAGGCAUGACACGAAGCGGAGUAGCCUAAAUAUGAUAUUAUAUACGGAGUAUAUACACCAUAUAUGCUAUUUUCUCAAACACAUACAUCUGUUUAUCUCUCAGCAUGAGAAAACGUCUUUUAGUUUUAAAACGGACCGAUUCGCGGUGCAACGGGAGUUUGCAAGCGUCAUUACAGUGUAAACUGAUGAACAUACAGAAUCAUACCUGAAACAGAAAACUAAUAAAUACAGUAAUAUUCCCUCCUUACUUCGGAAACUGUAGGCUUCCACACAGACGCGCACACAUCAACAUAUCUCCACAUGAGAAGUGUUUGUUAGAAGGGUGGGGUCUCAAAAUUAAAGAUGAAAGAUGCAACAUAACGCCAGCAGGGUUCACUCAUACGUCAUUAAAUAAAUAACAAACAGGUAAUUCUUCCGAAAUACAUAAGAAAUGAAACAGUUUUGAUGCUAUAUUAUUGAUUGUUUAUGUUGCUACGGGUGUUGUUGAGUGAUACACAGAACCAUUGGGUGAAGCGGUCAUAGCUGUGCUGUAUCGUGAAUAAAACACAGCUGCUGACCAAUCAGAAUCAAGGAAUGGAACUAACCAAUUUAUAAAGAGCUAUCCACGUGGAAGCAAGCCUAUGGGGAAGACUCCCGGUUCAUUAGACGCUAUAGGGAAAUAACGAGAGGAAUAACAAUGUGCAGUAAAUGGUAAAACUGUGCAUUAUAAACCAGUGUGUUCGUAAUUAAGACAACACAUUCAAAUAAUAUGGUAAGACACAACAAUUUUCAAUAUCAAGCAGCAAAACGAGCGUUCUGUACAGCUAAAAAUAGCUAGACGUGAAUGAGACUGGAAGCCAGACCCAUAGAAUUUACAAAUGAAGAAAAAGGAUGAACAACAUUGUUUAGAAGAUUAAAGGAAUGUUUCUGAAUUGACAAGAGCAACAGGUCCUUCAGCAUGUUUUCUCUUCCCUGACCCCAAACCGUUCCAAAACUAAAGCUAUCCCAAUGGACUAUCCGGACCUGUAGACCCCACUAUGUUUUCUUUUCUAUGUUAAUGUAUUAUCCAUUUAAACAGGAAGUUUGGGCUGGACAAGUGGCAAUAGAUUUUAGUUAUGUGACAGCCAUGGUAGAAACUGAGCUUUUCAAUUGCUUCACAGAAUGGUUCACUAUUUUAAACCGCUCCAAACGCACACACAGGCGACACACCUGAUGGUCAGAAUGCUGUAAAUGCAACACAAACUUUUUUGCAAAUGCUCUUCUUGAAAAUGUAAUCUAUUAAAUAUAUAAUAAUCAUCUCAAUUAAAAAAACUCAAAUAUGAAGUGUCUGUAUAUAAUAUGUGUUCGUUUAUAAAUUUGUAGAGCUUGUUUUGUGGGUUUGGCUAAUUAGGCCAAUAGGAGAGUAACUAUGACACAAUUAUUUAUAUAUUGUUAAUAUUUGGUAAAAAUAACUAAUUAAUUAAACAAAAACACUUUUGAAUACUACUGAGAAUAAAAAAGGGCUCCCACAGCAAUAGCAAUAAAGGAAUUUUUGGAAAUGGCUUGUUUUGAGCACCAGCAAACCCAAAAAGAAUGUCCAUGUCCAGUAUGCAUUGAAUUCUGUCAAAGACUGAUGAGAGAAAUCAAGCAUGGCUUGCAGUGCUUAAGUUAAAAUACUCCCCAAAGGUGGUAUAUACUAUAAGUGUUCUUUUCAUUCUGUGGACAAAAAGUUCUUUAGUUUUCCGGUAUGAGUCAGGAAAGACUUCUGCUAGAGGAGCCUGUGGAGAACUCCACUGGUUGGUGUUUAGAUGUGAAAAUCUUUCAGAAAGUGAAUACAAAUCUAUUUCAUUUUCACCGUCCAGUGAUGUAAAUGGUAGCAGGUGCAGACAGCAGUAGAUUAAAGGGUAUGCUGUGAUUAAGAUGUGUAGAGGUGACCUUUAGAAAAGUACCUGAUAUAGGGAAAGGGAAAGCGAGAGCG
rnacentral:lncRNA from 1 species